AUAUGAACUCUCCCGCUAUCUGAGAACAGCGCCUGUUGGUUUGGGUUUUUCGUGUUUUGUGUGGUUGCAGUAACGAGAUGCAGUUUUCUGGAGGAAAGCGGAAAAAACUGAGGUUGACAGGUGACCAAAGGAAUGUUUGCUACCCUCAUAGCCUUCAGUUUUACUUGGAGCCACCUUCUGAAAGCAUAUCUUUGAUCGAGUUUGAAAGCUUGGCUAUUGAUAGAGUUAAAUUGCUAAAAGCAGUUGAAAAUCUUGGUGUGAGCUAUGUGAAAGGAACUGAGCUAUACCAGAGUAAGUUGGAGAAUGAGAUAAGAAAGCUCAAGUUUUCCUUCAGAGAAAACUUAGAGAAUGAGUAUGAACCACGAAGAAAAGAUCAUAUUUCUCACUUUAUUUUACGCCUUGCUUAUUGCCAGUCUGAGGAUCUUAGACGCUGGUUCAUUCAACAAGAAAUGGAUCUCCUUCGAUUUCGAUUCAGUAUUUUACCCAAGGACAAAAUUCAAAAUUUCUUAAAGGAUAGCCAUUUGCACUUUGAGGCUAUAAGUGAUGAAGAGAAGAGUGUCCGAGAACCAGAGAUUCUUGCUUCCUCUCCCAGUUUGAGUGGGUCUAAGAUGGAAUUGGAGUUGGAGUCAGUUUAUAAGAUCCCUUUUGCUGAUGCUCUGGAUUUGUUCCGAGGAAGGAAAGUCUAUUUGGAAGGUGGCUUCACUUAUGUACCACUUAAAGACAUUGUGGCAAUUGUCCUGAAUGAAUUCAGAGCGAAACUGUCCAAGGCUUUAGCAUUAACAGCCAGGUCCUUGCCUGCUGUGCAGUCCGACGAGAGACUUCAGCCUCUACUUAACCACCUCAGUCAUUCUUACACUGGUCAAGAUUACAGCACACAGAAGAAUGCUGGGAAGAUUUCUUUAGACCGGAUUGAUUCGCUUUCUACCAAAUCCUUCCCACCGUGCAUGCGUCAGUUACAUAAAGCCUUGCGGGAAAAUCACCAUCUUUGUCAUGGAGGCCGGAUGCAGUAUAGCCUCUUCCUGAAGGGUAUUGGUUUAACAUUGGAACAGGCAUUGCAGUUCUGGAAGCAAGAAUUUAUCAGAGGAAAGAUGGAUCCAGACAAGUUUGAUAAAGGCUACUCUUACAAUAUCCAUCAUAGCUUCGGAAAGGAAGGCAAGAGGACAGACUAUACGCCUUUCAGUUGCAUGAAGAUUAUUCUAACCAAUCCACCAAGCCAUGGGGAUUAUCAUGGGUGCCCAUUCCAUCACAGCGAUCCAGAGCUGCUGAAGCAGAAGUUGCAGUCCUACAAGAUCUCUCCUGGAGGGGUACAGCAGAUCUUGGAUUUAGUAAAAAGGACACAUUACCAAGGGGCCUGUCAGAAGUACUUCGAGAUGAUACAUAAUGUGGAUGAUUGUGGCUUUUCUUUGAGCCAUCCUAAUCAAUUCUUUUUUGAGAGCCAACGGAUUCUAAGCGGUAAUAAAGACUUCAGGAAGGAAUCCAUCCAGCCAGAAACUCCUCAACCCAAACCAAGUGUCCAGAAAGCCAAGGAUGCAUCAUCGGCUCCGGCCUGUCUAAAUUCCUCUCUGGAAAUGGAUAUGGAAUGACUAGAGGAUGACUUCAGUGAAUGA